CCUUGUACACACCGCCCGUCACGGCAUGGGAGUUGGUUUUACCCGAAGACGGUGCGCUAACCGCAAGGAGGCAGCCGGCCACGGUAGGAUCAGCAACUGGGCCG
rnacentral:rRNA from 1 species